rnacentral:lncRNA from 1 species
GGUUUUAAGUGCUGGCUGUUGUUCAAUGGAAGAGGAAAUCAUUUGAACAAGAAUCGCAUCAAGUUGUGUUGUGAUAAAUUUUCUUUAUUAGGAUGAAUAACAUGCACAGAUGAGCUUCAAAAGUGAAUGAGCAAACUUACUGGUUACACUCUGCAUCCAUUUACUCUGUUUAGUAUGGAGUAAUGUUAAGCAAUAAAUGAUGCUGGCAAAU